rnacentral:rRNA from 2 species
GAGUAACACGUGGGUAACCUGCCUGUAAGACUGGGAUAACUCCGGGAAACCGGGGCUAAUACCGGAUGCUUGAUUGAACCGCAUGGUUCAAUCAUAAAAGGUGGCUUUUAGCUACCACUUACAGAUGGACCCGCGGCGCAUUAGCUAGUUGGUGAGGUAACGGCUCACCAAGGCGACGAUGCGUAGCCGACCUGAGAGGGUGAUCGGCCACACUGGGACUGAGACACGGCCCAGACUCCUACGGGAGGCAGCAGUAGGGAAUCUUCCGCAAUGGACGAAAGUCUGACGGAGCAACGCCGCGUGAGUGAUGAAGGUUUUCGGAUCGUAAAACUCUGUUGUUAGGGAAGAACAAGUACCGUUCGAAUAGGGCGGUACCUUGACGGUACCUAACCAGAAAGCCACGGCUAACUACGUGCCAGCAGCCGCGGUAAUACGUAGGUGGCAAGCGUUGUCCGGAAUUAUUGGGCGUAAAGCGCGCGCAGGCGGUUUCUUAAGUCUGAUGUGAAAGCCCCCGGCUCAACCGGGGAGGGUCAUUGGAAACUGGGGAACUUGAGUGCAGAAGAGGAGAGUGGAAUUCCACGUGUAGCGGUG